rnacentral:rRNA from 1 species
AGCUCCAAUAGCGUAUAUUAAAGUUGUUGCGGUUAAAAAGCUCGUAGUUGGAUUUCUGUUGAGGGUGGCCAGUCCAAACUUUGUUUGGUAUUUGGUUCAGCCUUGGCAUCCUCCUGGGGAGCGUUUCGGUACUUGAUUGUAUUGGACGUAAUUCAGGACUUUUACUUUGAGGAAAUUAGAGUGUUCACGGCAGGCCUUAGCCUUGAAUAUGUUAGCAUGGAAUAAUAAUAUAAGACCUCGGUUUUAUUUUGUUGGUUUCUAGAAUUGAGGUAAUGAUUAAUAGGGACAAUUGGGGUAUUCGAAUUAACGCGUCAGAGGUGGAAUUCUUGGAUUGCGUUACGACGAACUACUGCGAAAGCAUUUACCAAGGAUGUUUUCA